CAGCCGUUUGAGGGUGUUGAAGUCUCCAGCUCAGGAAGACCCCGUCUAUGCCUCCAUCGAUGAAGGGAAAGAGAUGCAGACCCUGGAGCCGGACCCCGACACCUACGCGGAGCUGGACCUCCAGACGCUGCAGCCCAGUGUAUACGGCGUGAUCAACAUGAGCCGGGGAACCCCGUAAUGAGACCCCCCGCAGCCAUGGGGCAUCAGCCCCCAGGGGGCAACAGACUCACCCCCCUACAGCACCAGCCCCAGAGAACUCUGCUUCUAGGGAAGAUUUAGGGAGGAUGCUGCCACCCCCACUGCAGCCCCGUCCCAUCGAGCUGCGUCCCCCUGCCCCACCCAGACCCAAAUGCGGGGGGUCAGGGGGCUCAGCACCGGGAGCGGGAGGGGACGCAUCAAGGCAGCUUUGAUGUUAUUUUGCAUCCUGUUAACCUCCAGAUUUGUAAUAAACACAGAUCAUUAAACCAGCCCCU